CUGGAAUGGGAUAGCUCCUUCUGGAAUGGGAUAGCUCUCUCUGGAAUGGGUGAACAACUCCCUCUGGAAUGGGGGAGCUCCCUCUGGAUUGGGUGAACUCAUUGUGGAAUGGGAUUGCUCAUUCUGGAAUGGGAUAAAUCCCUCUGGAAUGGGAUAGCUCCUUCUGGAAUGGGCGAACUCAUUGUGGAAUGGGAUAGCUCCCUCUGGAAUGGGAUAAAUCCCUCUGGAAUGGGAUAGCUUGUUCUGGAAUGGGAUAGCUCCUUCUGGAAUGGGUGAAUAACUCCCUCUGGAAUGGGAUAACCCUCUGGAAUACGUGAAUUCAUUCUGGGAUGGGAUAGCUCCUUCUGGAAUGGGGUAGAUCCCUCUGGAAUGGGAUAGCUCAUUCUGGAAUGGGAUAAAUCCCCCUGGAAUGGGAUAGCUUGUUCUGGAAUGGGAUGGCUCCUUCUGGAAUGGGUGAACUCAUUCUGGGAUGGGAUAGCUCCUUCUGGAAUGGGUGAACAACUCCCUCUGGAAUGGGGUAACUCCCUCUGGAAUGGGGUAAUUCCCUCUGGAACGGGGUGACUCCCUCUGCAAGGGGGUGACUCCCUUCAGGACAGGUUAACUCCCUUUGCUUUGGCUCUUCCCUCGAUUCCAUGUGCACACACUACAGGAGAACACCGAGGACAGGCAGGUUUGGCUCACGGAUGGAGGAAGGCUGUGAUGGUGGCAGUAAAUCUCCUUUUGUUGCUGCUAAUUUAACUCGUUAAUUUUUCAUUUCAGACUCCCCAUUGACAUUGUUGUGUAUUUCCCCCCCUGCUCCAGGCCCUGCUCGGGACAUUCCCAUGGGUGAGGCUUUCUGGGCCCCUGGGCUGGGUGCUGGCAAGGGAUGGGCACAGACACAGCCCAGGAGCUGCAGGUGACCCCAGACCAGCCCGGCAGGAGCAUUCCCAGCACAGGGCCAGGGACAGCCCCUCCUGUCCAGCUCCUGGGGCUGUUCCCAAGGGAGAAUCCCAAAGCCCAGACCGGGCCCAGCUGCUGCUGCUGCUCAGGGGUGCCAGGGUCCAGCCUGGUUAUCCCUGACAGCAAAAUGGGAAAACACAGGGAAAGCCCUGCAGGGGUUUUCAGGGGAUCCCAGUGCCCUGGAGCAAUGGCCAGGGGCUGAGGGACAGCUGGCUCUGGGAUCACCUGCACCAUUCCCACCCAAAAUCCCACAGCCCACGGGGAUGUUCCCUUCUCCAAGAAUUCCCAAACCUUCUCUCUCUCUGGCUGUGGGACCUGGGCAGCUGCAGGCCCAGGGAAGCCCCCACCCCUGAUAAUUUCCCAUUUUCCCAGUGCCAGCUCACAGUUCCUACCCAGGCGAUGGCAAACCAGGAAAGUUCUCAGCCAGUUGUUCCCAACAGCGACCAUUUAACAUCCUCAAAUCCGGUCUCAUGUUUUCCAAGGUAUUUUUUAACACAUCCACGUCUGCAUCUGUGUUUGGUGGCAGUGCCAGCCCUGGGAGGGGACAGGGGGCUCCACACAGGGAGCAGGCAGGACAAGGCUGAGGGUGAUGGGGCAGCUGAGAGCAGAGCCAAGGAAAUCCAGGAAAAAUCUGAGCAGGAAAUGUCCAGGAAGUUGGUUUGCUGUUGGUAGUGAGCACUUGGAGUGUAAGGAUGUUAAAGCCCUUCCUAAAGAGGCUCCAGGAGAGCUGCAGGACAGGGACUGGGGACAAGGGAUGGAGAGACAGGACACAGGGAAUGGCUCCCACUGCCAGAGGGCAGGGAUGGAUGGGAGAUUGGGAAUUGGGAAUUGUUCCUUGGGAGAGUGGGCAAGCCCUGGAAUAGAAUUCCCAGAGCAGCUGUGGCUGCCCCUGGAUCCCUGGCAGUGCCCAGGCCAGGCUGGAGCAGCCUGGGACAGUGGGAGGGGUCCCUGCCAUGGCAGGGGUGGCACUGGGUGGCUCUGAGGUCCCUUCCCCUCCAGCCCAUCCUGGGAUGCUGGGACCCCUUUGGGAGUGCUGGGACCCCUUUGGGAGGCUGGGACCCCUUUGGGAGGCUGGGACCCCUUUGGGAGAUUGGGACCCCUUUGGGAGGCUGGGACCCCUCUCUGCUGGAGUUCAGCCCUGAUUACCUGAUGCAAUCACAGAUGCCUCUGCACAGAGCUCUGGGGGAUGCAAGGGCAGGGAAUGCAAACCCAGGGAAAUGAACCCCCCAAUGGGAUCAGCCGAGGGCAGGGCUCAGGGGAGGCCCCGCUCCCAGGGGAUCAGGGUGUUUAUUCCGUUUAUUCCCAGGAGCUGCCCUGGGAAUGGGUGAGGGAUGUCCUGCUGGCACCCCUGGCCAGGCAGAGCCUGUCCCACAGCAGCGGGGAUGGGGACAGGUCCCCAGAUGGCUCAGGGGGUGACAGAGCUGCGGGGUCAGCACCCACCCUGGCAGGGUUUGGCCAUAAACAAACACAGCAAGCCCCACCUCAGCUCGAGGAAGAAUUUCUUUCCCUGGGGUGGCAGGGCCCUGAGCAGGGUCUGGGGUUUCCCUCUCUGGGGACAUCCCAACCCCACCCGGACACGUCCCCGUGUCCCCUGCCCCAGGCUGGGCUGGAUGGUGCCCAGAGGUCCCUGCUGUGAUUCUGUGAACUGGUGGCAUUCACAGUUAGAACUCCCAAAGGAAACUGGGGAUGCUGUGCCAGCUGGAGCUCCCUGCCCGUGCCCGUCCCUCGCCAUCCCUCUGGAAGUGCCCGGCUCCAGGGCAGGCCCCCGUGCCCACACAGCUUCCUGGGCAGCAGCUGGGGCACCACACGGACCCAGGGACCCACGGGGAGCUGGCCUGGCCCUGGAGCCACGGGUGGGCACAGCUGUGGUGCCACCGGGGCCAGGCCCUGGCAGUUCCCCCACCCAACCCCAAACGGCACCGUUUGCAAAUCCCGGAAUUUCAAACCAAAAAGAAAUGAACCCCCCCCCCACACACACACACACACAAAAAAGCUUUUAGCCAAUCCUCUCCCUGGCUGAUUCCAGCUGAUGUAGUGGAAGUGACUGACUGGCACCAGUCCGGGCACUCCUGGCACUGCCCUGUGUCCCUUGGGUGGCGGUGGCUGUGUCCCCUCCCUCCUCCUCCUCCUCCUCCUCCUCCUCCCCGGGCAGGGCACUCUCAUCACUUCGGUUUUCUACCUGUGAGUACUGUAUCCAGUUCAGAACCAACAGCUUCCUUUAGUAAAGAUUUUACCAUUUUAUAAAAGACAUGUUUAAUUAUGAUGGAGAUGGCUGUAUUGUAAUUAAUAUUUUGAGAUAAUUGUGAUUUUGAGCUUAAAUUAUAUACAGAAAUGGUCAUUUUUGUAUGUGUUCAAAGAUUGCUAUAUUCCAGAUGACUGUACUUUUCAGUUGAAUUCCAGUAUCCAUGUAAAUAAAGCUGAAUGAGGAAAUAUUUACUACUUUAUUAACAUAGAUUGUGAAUGUACUUCAUGUUUUUUGCAGUAUAAAGACUUACUGAACUUGAAAGCUGCUUCAUUUUAUGUGCAAAAAGGUACUUCAAAAAUUCUAUUUUAAAUCUAUUGAUUGAGUGCAAUCAGCUCCUGUCCCCUGGCACAUGCAGGUUGUCCCCUCCCCGUGCUGUGGGGCUGCUGCAUUUGGCAGCUGCUCUGCAAAGAGGGAGCCCAGGGACUGAACCGAUGCUGUGCAGUGCAGCAGAGCCAUUUUCGGCUUUGCUGUACCCACCUUUUUCAGUAUUUCCAAAAAAAAAAAGUGUUUUGAAUAACAUUAAAAAGUCUCUUUAUUGUAUAAAUAAUAAAAACGUCACCUUAUUGUAAGGCU